UCAAACUUGGUCAUUUAGAGGAAGUAAAAGUCGUAACAAGGUCUCCGUAGGUGAACCUGCGGAGGGAUCAUUAAAAAUGUUGAGAGGUUCGCCCUCUCUCCCAAUCCCACACACCCAGAGGAAAAUUUAAAGUGGUUCGGCGCUCUUUUGGGAGCCGCCUUUUAAAUACUUGAUUGACUUUUGCAAUGGUCUGAUUUGUUUUUACUAAAUAUCAAAACUUUCAACAAAGGAUCUCUUGGCUCUCGCAUCGAUGAAGAACGCAGC
rnacentral:misc_RNA from 1 species